rnacentral:rRNA from 1 species
UUUUCCUACGGGAGGCAGCAGUGGGGGAUAUUGGACAAUGGGGGGAACCCUGAUCCAGCGACGCCGCGUGAGUGAAGAAGUAUUUCGGUAUGUAAAGCUCUGUCAGCAGGGAAGAAAGAAAUGACGGUACCUGACCAAGAAGCCCCGGCUAACUACGUGCCAGCAGCCGCGGUAAUACGUAGGGGGCAAGCGUUAUCCGGCAUUACUGGGUGUCACGGGAGCGUAGACGGUUAAGUAAGUCUGGAGUGCAAGGCCGGGGCCCAACCCCGGGCCUGCUCUGGAAACUAUUGAACUUGCGUGC